rnacentral:rRNA from 1 species
GUCUUUUUGAUUUUAAUUUAAAGUCAAAUCUGCCCACUGAUUUAUAUUAAAGGGCUGCAGUAUAUUGACUGUACAAAGGUAGCAUAAUAAAUAGUCUUUUAAUUGAAGACUUGUAUGAAAGAUUUGAUGAGAUAUAAACUGUCUCUUUUUUAUAUUUAGAAUUUAAUUUUUUAGUAAAAAAGCUAAAAUUAAUUUAAAAGACGAGAAGACCCUAUAGAGUUUUAUAAUUAAUUUAUUUAUAUGUUUAUAUAUAUAAAUUAAAAUUUAAGUAAUUUAAUUAUUUUGUUGGGGUGAUAGAAAAAUAAAUUUAACUUUUUUUAAAAUAUUACAUUAAUUAAUGAAUAUAUGAUCCAUAAAUUAUGAUUAAAAGAAAAAAUUACCUUAGGGAUAACAGCGUAAUUUUUUUUUUUAGUUCUUAUAGGAAAAAAAGUUUGCGACCUCGAUGUUGGAUUAAGAUAAAAUUUAAAUGUAGAAGUUUAAAAUUUUUGAUCUGUUCGAUCAUUAAAAUCUUACA